GUUAAAACAGCUGUUUUCGUACGAUCACCGAAGUUAAGCAACGUUGGGCCUGGUCAGUACCUAGAUGAAUUGUCACUUGGGAAUACCAAGUGCUGUAAG